rnacentral:rRNA from 1 species
GACGAACGCUGGCGGCGUGCCUAAUACAUGCAAGUCGAGCGAAGUUUUUCUGGUGCUUGCACCGGAAAAACUUAGCGGCGAACGGGUGAGUAACACGUAAAGAACCUGCCUCAUAGACUGGGACAACUAUUGGAAACGAUAGCUAAUACCGGAUAACAGCAUUAACUGCAUGGUUGAUGUUUAAAAGUUGGUUUUGCUAACACUAUGAGAUGGCUUUGCGGUGCAUUAGCUAGUUGGUGGGGUAAAGGCCUACCAAGGCGACGAUGCAUAGCCGACCUGAGAGGGUGAUCGGCCACACUGGGACUGAGAGACGGCCCAGACUCCUACGGGAGGCAGCAGUAGGGAAUCUUCCGCAAUGGGCGAAAGCCUGACGGAGCAACGCCGCGUGAGUGAAGAAGGAUUUCGGUUCGUAAAGCUCUGUUGUUAGGGAAGAAUGAUUGUGUAGUAACUAUACACAGUAGAGACGGUACCUAACCAGAAAGCCACGGCUAACUACGUG